rnacentral:rRNA from 1 species
GACAGAGGGGGCAAGCGUUGCUCGGAAUUACUGGGCGUAAAGGGCGCGUAGGCGGGAUGGCAAGUCGGUCGUGAAAUCCCUCGGCUCAACUGAGGAUCGUCGAUCGAUACUGCCGUUCUUGAGGAUUGCAGAGGAGACUGGAAUUCCCGGUGUAGCGGUGAAAUGUGUAGAGAUUGGGAAGAACACCAGUGGCGAAGGCGGCUAUCUGGACGGUUUCUGACGCUAAGACGCGAAAGCGUGGGGAGCAAACAGG